UAGGGAAUAUUGGGCAAUGGAGGAAACUCUGACCCAGCAACGCCGCGUGAAAGAUGAAGGUUUUCGGAUUGUAAAUUUCUGUAGCAGAGGACGAAUAAAUGACGGUACUCUGCAAGUAAGCCCCGGCUAACUAUGUGCCAGCAGCCGCGGUAAUACAUAGGGGGCAAGCGUUGUCCGGAAUGACUGGGUGUAAAGGGUGCGUAGGUGGUUGGAUAAGUUAGAAGUGCAAGCCCCGAGCUUAACUCGGGAAUUGCUUCUAAAACUGUCUGACUUUGAGUGCAGGAGAGGAUAGUGGAAUUCCUAGUGUAGCGGUGGAAUGCGUAGAUAUUAGGAGGAACACCAGAGGCGAAGGCGGCUAUCUGGACUGUAACUGACACUGAGGCACGAAAGCGUGGGGAGCAAACA
rnacentral:rRNA from 1 species